AACGAACGCUGGCGGCAUGCCUAACACAUGCAAGUCGAACGAGACCUUCGGGUCUAGUGGCGCACGGGUGCGUAACGCGUGGGAACCUGCCCUUAGGUUCGGAAUAACUCCCCGAAAGGGGUGCUAAUACCGGAUAAUGUCUUCGGACCAAAGAUUUAUUGCCUUUGGUUGGGCCCGCGUUGGAUUAGCUAGUUGGUAGGGUAAAAGCCUACCAAGGCGACGAUCCAUAGCUGGUCUGAGAGGAUGAUCAGCCACACUGGGACUGAGACACGGCCCAGACUCCUACGGGAGGCGGCAGUGGGGGAUAUUGGAAAAUGGGGGAAAGCCUGAUCCAGCAAUGCCGCGUGAGUGAUGAAGGCCUUAGGGUUGUAAAGCUCUUUUACCCGGGAUGAUAAUGACAGUACCGGGAGAAUAAGCUACGGCUAACUCCGUG
rnacentral:rRNA from 1 species